rnacentral:rRNA from 1 species
UGAGUAACCUGCCCUUAACUCUGGGAUAAGCCUGGGAAACUGGGCCUAAUACCGGAUAUGACUCCUCAUCGCAUGGUGGGGGGUGGAAAGCUUUAUUGUGGUUUUGGAUGGACUCGCGGCCUAUCAGCUUGUUGGUGAGGUAAUGGCUCACCAAGGCGACGACGGGUAGCCGGCCUGAGAGGGUGACCGGCCACACUGGGACUGAGACACGGCCCAGACUCCUACGGGAGGCAG